ACGCCCGGAGACGCCGAGCCUGGCCACACGUCCCUCGCUCGCGCGCCCUCGCCAUCCUUCAAUGUUUACUUGUCGGCACGCCGCGAACAGCUGACCGACCGAUGGCGAUCCCCGAGGCGUUAUCGAGUGGGAGCUGCGGUCGGCGAGCACUUAAGAUAUUGCGUAGGCUGCAACAGAAUUAUGGCUGGGAAGCAGAGAAGAGAAGAUAAUGCGUCGCCUUCUGUACGUAUACUGAAUGUAUCCUGAGUGUCUCAUUCUUUCCGGUAUACCUUCAGUAUACGUAACAGAAGAUGACACGGUUCGUCGCGCGAAGACAGAAGACUCAUCAGGUGAUAGAAGACAGUUUUUCAAACGGCAGGGCGAAGACAUUGGAAGACUUGUGUUUUUCUUAUUGCUAUUGUAUUAUUGUGCUAGUAUUAUUAUGAUUAAUUACUAAUUUGUAAUUAUGUAAAACUCUGUGUAAAAAAUAAUAUUCCUGUAUAUAUGU